CUACGGGCUGCACCAGUGAGGAAUUUUGCGCAAUGGGGGAAACCCUGACGCAGCAACGCCGCGUGAGUGAAGAAGGCCCUUGGGUCGUAAAGCUCUGUCAAUGGGGAAGAAGUUAUUAUGUGUUAAUAGCACAUUUUAUUGACGGUACCCAUGAAGGAAGCACCGGCUAACUCCGUGCCAGCAGCCGCGGUAAUACGGGGGGUGCAAGCGUGAUUCGGAAUUAUUGGGCGUAAAGGGCACGCAGGCGGUCCUGUCAGUCAGAUGUGAAAGCCCGGGGCUCAACCCCGGACGUGCAUUUGAAACAGCAGGACUUGAGUACGGGAGAGGAAAGGGGAAUUCCUGGUGUAGAGGUGAAAUUCGUAGAUAUCAGGAGGAACACCGGUGGCGAAGGCGCCUUUCUGGACCGAUACUGACGCUGAGGUGCGAAGGCGUGGGUAGCGAACGGGAUUAGAUACCCCUGUAGUC
rnacentral:rRNA from 1 species